GCGCGACAAACACCGAGAAUCAGGAGAACUUUCCAAAGUGGAACGCUUAAAUUCAGUUCUAACGAGGGCAGAGAUGUGAGCCGACCUGUGGGUCAGAACCAGAACCGGCGUCGCUACUUUACCCAGAGCGAACCGUCCGGGGGUCCUCGACUUACGUUGGAGUUUCGUUCCUAUGAUUGAUGUAAGUCGAUUUUUGCGUUUUCACUCUGUAAUGUGUAUCAGGAGCCACAGUAGAGAGGUCAAGUUUGCUACAACUCACGAUUCAUUUUAUAAGAACAAAUUUAACUAGUUGGACAUCUGCAGCUUUUAUGUUGCAAGCAUCAGAAGAGUCUGACUGACGCUUAAGAGCCAUAAUGAAGGGCAAAAAGUUAGUGAAUGGAGAACAAUCCAACGUGGUGCACAACCGGAGAGUAGAAACACCAGUUCUGACGUAACGACAAAACAGCUUGGUCGAGGACAUCGUAAACCGAGGACCCCCUGAAUACCGUAGACCUUCCUCCAGCCCACGGCUUCCAGCUGCCCAUUUCCACCAAUCUACUCUGCAUUGCCCUCACUAUACUUGAUAUGCUCAUCUACAGACUGUUUGCAUCUUACGACCAGCUAUAUAUGUAGUAUAUUUAAUACCAGAGCCGUACACCAUAGAAGUAAACUAUGAAUCAGUUUCAGUGUUGGCUUCUACUUUGUAUGUAUCAUCUAUGUUGCUCUGAUCAUGCAUGUGUGUGUUAUAUGUUUCCUUGUCCACUACCCCCUCUACCUCUUCUGUCUCUCUCAACCAGCCAGCCAGCAGCAGAUGGGUCCCCCCCACAUAAAGAGCCGGGUUCUACUCAAGGUUUCUUCCCGUUAAAAGGGAGGUUUUUCUUGCCACUGUCUACUUGGCGCUGCUCUGGGGGUUCAUAUGGGUUCUGUAAAGUGUCUUGAGACAAUUUGACCUGUAAUUGGAGCUAUAUAAACAAAACUGAAUUGAAUAUGAUGUUUUGAUGCUAAGCUAGGCUAACAGGUUCCCCUUCCCUUCAGUCAUGGUGUAUAGCUGAGCUAACAGUGUUCUUCUGCUUCCACUCUGUAAGGGACUCAAAUUCAUUAUGGUUAAAAUUUGUGGAAUUUUAUUUUGAAAUGUACUUCUUGUGUUUUAUGUUGCCAUUUCCUGUUAUAAAGGAAGAUUAUUUUGAAAGGUCACUUAGCGCACAUAGCGAACUACAUAUGUAAACGGUACACGUUAAUGACGGUAAGAAGCACAGAGAGAGUAACGAGUGAGAGAAAAGGCAAAGAUAAACGGGAGAGUAAGGUGUAACAAGGAAUUUAGCUCCAGUUGAAAGUGGUAACAAGGUACAGUAAUUAUAGCUUCUCAAGGUUAUGGUUUAAAGGAAAUACGGUGGUAUUUAAGAAGUGAGCUAAUGUGACAUUUCUGUGUUUUAUUUCCGUUUUAGCUCUGAAGUUGGUCCUAUGUUGAGCUACAUUGGUCUAAGUUGGACUUGCAAACUGCAACCUGGUUUAUGAUCUGUAAUAAAAGACAUUUGACCAUCA